AUCCCCCAUGCAUGCAUUAGGGUAUGGGAAAAUUGAAUGAUACAAGGGACUGCUAAAAACUGCACUGAGAACAAUGCAGGGUGGGACCUUCAAACAUUGGGAUACACAUUUAGCAAAAGCCACCUGGUUGGUUAAUACUAGAGGAUCUACCAAUCAAGCUGGCCCUGCCCAACCAAAACUUCCACAUACUGCAGAAGGAGAUAAAGUCCCUGUAGUGCGCAUGAAGAGUAUGUUAGGGAAGACAGUCUGGGUUAGCCCUGCUUCAGGCAGAGCCAAACCCAUCCACAGGAUUGCUUGUGCUCAAGGACCUGGGUGCACUUGGUGGGUGACGCGGAAGAAUGGGGAAGUUCGAUGUGUUCCCCAAGGAGAUUUGAUUUUGAGUGAGAAUAGCCAGUGAAUUAGACUGUACGAUGUUAAAUGCUAAAUAACCCUGCCACUGUACAUCAUUAUAUCUGUAGUGGCUAUAUGCUGUAUCAAUGGUAUUAUGGUAAGAAUCACCCAAAUCACUGAAAGAUGGACUUUGAAACCAAGUGAAGUGCAGCAGUGAUGGAACUUGAACUGGCACCCAGCAAAUUCCUCAAGAUCAACGUCUUCAACCCGCAGACCGUGGGCAUGGAUUGCAUCAAAUACACCAGCUGCAAGCUCCGGAGGCAGCAUGCAACAAUCCAACAGCAAACACCGUCUCUCCUACCCUGAAGGACUCUUAUGACAGAUGGAGCCCCAAAGUCAUUAAAUAAAAUCAACUGUCAUGUU